UUUCCGUAGGUGAACCUGCGGAAGGAUCAUUAAUGAGUUGUCAUGGGGUUCGAUGCUGGCAGCCAAUUUUUGGAUGCAUGUGCUUGCCCUAACAAUCAUCUUCCAAACACCUGCGCACAUUUUUGAGGGAGUCUUGAGUUGGUUGCCGCUCUUGGGUGAUUUUCUCACAUUCCCUUAAAUCAUUAUACGCUAUUAACAAUGUUGAACGUGCUCUGUGCCGCAAGGCUAUUAAUAUAAUACAACUUUUAACAACGGAUCUCUUGGCUCUCACAUCGAUGAAGAACGCAGC
rnacentral:misc_RNA from 1 species